rnacentral:misc_RNA from 1 species
UGGGAUUCUUAUAUCUUACACAUCAAUUCGUACAACAAGUCCCCCUUUAGCAAAACUAAAGUCGUGAAUAUUAUUUGUGAUCAAAAGAUCAUGGAUUUAAUUGUUGCAACAAACUCUGCAAAUGCGCAGAAGAAAGGCACUAGGGACAUCCAAUUUUCUAAGUUCCAACUCCAUAUGAUCAUCACUAGCAACACUUUCACAUGCUCUUUUCAAUGGAUGUGUUAGAAACAUUUCAUUGAAAAGGGAAAAAAAAAAAA